UACAGAGACUGCAAGCGUUAUUCGGAUUCACUGGGCGUAAAGGGUGCGCAGGCGGCCAAGUCGUGUUAGGCGUGAAAGCCCGGGGCUUAACCCCGGAAUUGCACCUAAAACGUACAUGGCUAGAGCAUUGGAGAAGGGUAGCGGAAUUCACGGUGUAGCAGUGAAAUGCGUAGAUAUCGUGAGGAACACCAGAGGCGAAGGCGGCUACCUGGACAAUUGCUGACGCUCAGGCACGAAAGCGUGGGGAGCAAAAGGG
rnacentral:rRNA from 1 species